rnacentral:tRNA from 1 species
GGAGAUUUACCCAAGUCUGGCUGAAGGGACUGGUCUUGAAAACCAGUAGAGGAUUAACGUCCUGCGGGGGUUCGAAUCCCUCAAUCUCCGCCA